rnacentral:lncRNA from 1 species
AAGCGGCAAAUACGAGAUUAGAUGCAGAGGAGUUUCUAGGGUUAUGUCGAAUCAACCGCCGUUUCAUACGAGAUCGACAAAGAAUCGAUCUAAGGUGUCACCGAGCAAUCGUAUUGGCUGAUCAUUUUUCCUCCCUCGACAAGCAAGAACACAAGGGAUCUACAGCAUACGCGUCCUGAGGAAAACUAAACGAUAGAUGGAGAAACUGUUUACGAGGUUUUGCUCGUUUUCUGGGUCGAAUCAGCGUGUUGAUUGGAGGAAGGAAUUGAUAUGUCAAAACGUCACCACGUGAAGACAACCAAUCGCGAGAAGAUUAGAUAAAUCACUGCACCAAGGGCAAUCUGCUACAUAAUUAAAGCCUGGUAUUGAUAUUCUGCAGCAAACACGGAUGUGAAGGUGACCCCGACUCGGCCUCUACGGGUGCGGUCUCGCGUUAAACCAGCCCAUCGUGGCUCGCGUCGUCGUCGUGGUCGUGCCCUGAGCCGGUUCGCCUAAGUCCGCCGUCGCUUCAACCCGCCGCUGAGCCAGCUGCACCUCUACUGUGCUUCCCGUCCGAGCCGCCAUGAGCCGCCACCGCGCCUCCUUGUUGCUUCGGUCAUGAGUCGCUGCCGCCACUAACCGCCAUCGCUUCGCCCCGCUACCAAGCCACCAUCGCCUCACCGCCAUAGUAUGUUUUCCCCUACGUCCGCGUCAGCUACCCCUCCGCGUGAAGGAAGGAAUGAAGGAAGGAAAAUUGACUACUCCGUCGCUGGGAGGAAAACUCGUGUCGCCUCGCCGCCGCGGCCUCGAGUUGCGCCCGCUCGCCCCGCCGCGCGUGCGCCACCGUUGUGGCUCGGCUCGCCGCCGCGUCCUGAGCUGCCGCUGCGCCUGCAUCCGCCGCGUUGUGGCUUGGAUGCACCCCGCCUCCACCGGUGCCUGACCGAGUCAUGCUCGGGGUCGCCCUCGUCGCCGGUUUGCCUCGCCUCGCCUCGAGUCGCCCCCACCGGCUGUCACCAGUCUCGGACUCAACCUCGUCUCGAUUGAUCUCGUCUGUGUCCAGAUGAAGUUCGGAGACUAAUUUUUAUUCUAUGCCGAAAUCAAGACGAAUCUCGCUACAUCGAGCUGACGUAUUGUGGGAUUUAUUCUGGUUGUCGUACGCUAGUCGCUGAAGGACUAGGGGUGAAAAGCAGUCAAAAUUACCGGAAGUUUGUAUAAGCAUUUGGAUGGCUGGGCAGCCACAUUAGUUGUUGCUAGACAAAAUGGAGUCAAUCAGAAGCAGUUUUUCCACCGGGAUUUCUUGGAGGAAAAGUUCCAUUCGUAGUACAAAUACUAGUACAAGCAUAUUGGAACACACGUCAGGGAGAAGAGGCUCGUUUACUGUGGAGCCAGCCAAGAAAUAAAAGAGGAUCACGUGGUGUUUGAAGCUACAACAGAUCAGUCAAAAGAUGGACGUACAACCAGCCUCGACCAGGAAAAGCUUGCCGAGCUCGCUUGCCUCUGUCGCCCCGUUCGUCGAGCUGUUCAGCCGCUGAUGCCUUACUCUGCCAUGCCUCCAUCGAGCCGCCGUCACCCUGACUCGCUCACCUCUGCUAUGAGGCGUACG